ACGAUCAUAUUGGCCACAGCCUCGCGUCUCUCCCUCGACCGCGAAAACCCUAUCCACCUCCACCCAGAGCCGCCGACUCCUCUCCCUCUCACCUUCCGAUUUAGAUCCAUGUCCAGCCUCCCUCCACGCUUGGCUGCCGAUCUCCAGCGCCGCCGCGCCAACCAUCUCUUGCUCCACCUCCGUCUCCCACCCUCUCUUGCUCCGCCACCACCCCCACUCUCUCCGGCUCCCACUCCCCCUGUGUAGCCUCCUCCGUUCCGCGAUGGGGCGGCCGUAGCGGCGCUCCUAGAUCUAUGUCAAGGGAAGCCCCCUGCUCGUCGUCAUGGGCGCGGUGGUCAUGAGGAAAGUGGUUUAGGACGGCUAGAUGGAAGUUGAAGCCUACCCGCUGCCCAGGACAAGGAUGGAUGCCCUGACGCUCCCCCUUCUUCACAAUCUUGCGCUGGGAGAGGAGGUGGUGGCCACUGUUUUCUUCGGCACUCCUCGGCCUUAUCCACAUCGCCACAGGUGACCUCGCCAGACCACUCGCUGUGAAGGUGGAGGAGAUAGCUAAAGUCGAGGGUGUUGUUGAUGACAUAAAAGGUGUUUAUAAAAUAGAGCCUUGUGAAGAACAAAGGAUACAAUAUAGAAAGGAUGUUCCCUCACACAUGACAGUAGCUGCACGGCCUAUGAACAAUGUUCCCUCCCCAACAACGCCUUUGUGAGCAUGCUCACUGUUGGCACUGUCAUGGCAGAAUCGUGCAAGCAUCGGCCAUGCAGAUUAUGCCAUACUUAUUUGCAUGUCAUGCUAUAUGAACAGGCACUGUGGUUGUGAUUGUUAUGCUGGGAAUGAUGUUCCUCAUGGUCCCAGUAAUGCUGUUAGUAUGGAAGAGGCACCGGAUCCUUGUUUUCGCAUUCCUUAAGCUCUUGUUGAUGGAGAAUAAAUGGAAAUAAGUGAUCAUCUAGUGGAGACAGAGAUAACAAGUACAGACAACCUGCAGGGUACCAAGUAGAGGCAAACCGCAGGGUACAAGUACAGACACUAUGGUAUGUUGUUGUCCAUCAGAAUCCGCCAUGCCAUAUAGUUGCCAUCAGGAGGGUUGACAACAAGAACACGAGUGACAACCUUUGUAGUUAUAUGUUUGUCAAUGUAAAUUGGAUUGUACCGGUUCCUAAUCCUAUGGAUGGUUGCAUAUUGAGUGAUUUUGUCAAUAUAUGGUGUAUAUUAUCAUUUCAUGGAGGAUAUUAUAAACUGCUAGGUUCUACAUACCUAUAGAUGGUUGCAUAUUGAGUGAUUUGUGUAACAUAUGGUACUUUGGAAAUAUUUUCCUCGUCCAAAAUUGGCAUUAUGAUUUACGGAACACAUUAUGGUAAA